AAGACCAUAGUCAAACCAAUGACAUAUGAGUUGCAUUCAUAAAGAGUUUUUUAAAACUGGUUUUA
rnacentral:tRNA from 1 species